UGGAGAACUAAGGACAGGGAGAG
rnacentral:piRNA from 1 species